UGAGGAAUAUUCGGCAAUGGGCGCAAGCCUGACCGAGCGACGCCGCGUGCGGGAUGACACCUUUCGGGGCGUAAACCGCUUUUCUAUGGGAAGAGACAGGACGGUACCAUAGGAAGAAGUCUCGGCUAACUACGUGCCAGCAGCCGCGGUAAUACGUAGGAGGCGAGCGUUGUCCGGAGUUACUGGGCGUAAAGCGUGGGUAGGCGGCUCUGUGCGUCUGUGGUGAAAUCUCCCGGCUUACCUGGGAGGGGGUCAUGGAUACGGCAGGGCUUGAGGGCGUGAGAGGCUUGUAGAACUCCCGGUGGACCAGUGAAAUGGGUAGAGAUCGGGAAGAAUACCAGUGGUGCAGACGGCAAGCUGGCGCGUACCUGACGCUGAGCCACGAAAGCAUGGGGAGCAAACAGGAUUAGAUACCCGCGUAGUCC
rnacentral:rRNA from 1 species